ensembl:snoRNA small nucleolar RNA SNORD72
UGCUUGCCAAUGAUGUUGAAUUUAAUGUCUGAACAAAUGAAAUCAAUGUGAUAUCAAUGUUUCACUGAGGUAAGCU